UACGUAGGGGGCUAGCGUUGUCCGGAUUUAUUGGGCGUAAAGGGCGUGUAGGCGGCCAUGUAGGUCCGGUGUGAAAACUCGAGGCUUAACCUCGAGAUGUCAUCGGAAACCAUUUGGCUAGAGUCCGGAAGAGGAGAGUGGAAUUCCUGGUGUAGCGGUGAAAUGCGCAGAUAUCAGGAAGAACACCAAUGGCGAAAGCAGCUCUCUGGGACGGUACUGACGCUGAGACGCGAAAGCGUGGGGAGCGAACAGG
rnacentral:rRNA from 1 species